CCUACGGGAGGCAGCAGUGAGGAAUAUUGGUCAAUGGGCGCGAGCCUGAACCAGCCAAGUAGCGUGAAGGAUGACUGCCCUACGGGUUGUAAACUUCUUUUAUAAAGGAAUAAAGUGAGGCACGUGUGCCUUUAUGUAUGUACUUUAUGAAUAAGGAUCGGCUAACUCCGUGCCAGCAGCCGCGGUAAUACGGGGGAUCCGAGCGUUAUCCGGAUUUAUUGGGUUUAAAGGGAGCGUAGAUGGGUUGUUAAGUCAGUUGUGAAAGUUUGCGGCUCAACCGUAAAAUUGCAAUUGAUACUGGCAGUCUUGAGUACAGUUGAGGUAGGCGGAAUGCGUGGUGUAGCGGUGAAAUGCUUAGAUAUCACGAAGAACUCCGAUUGCGAAGGCAGCUUACUAAACUGCCACUGACAUUGAUGCUCGAAAGUGUGGGUAUCAAACAGGAUUAGAUACCCGAGUAGUC
rnacentral:rRNA from 1 species